GUGGGUAUCUUGUACCCCUAAUUCUACUGUCGGACACUUGUCCAUUUUUACCUCUUGUCUCACUUUUUUUGAGGUUCCGGGCACUUGCCCCUUUUUAUUUCCUCGUAUCUCUCUCUUUUUUUAAAGUCAUCUCCUGAAAUAAUAUAGCAAGUGGUAGUAACCAAGAUAACUUGAGCAUUUAUUUCACAGGGGAAAAACAGAAAUAUUUUUGGCUAUUCUCUCCCGGAUUAGGAGUAGAAUAUUUUUGGGUGGUUCUGGAGAUGGAAAUGGGUGGAUAUAUGUGGAUGC
rnacentral:lncRNA from 1 species